rnacentral:lncRNA from 10 species
GGGACCCCUGCGUGUAGCCUCACCUUGACCUGGGCUUCCUCUCAACAUGGCGGCCAGGACUAGGGUUUAUUUUCAACAUAGAUUCCUCUGGUUACUGAGGGCGAGAGCAGGGGAGUCACCUUUGCCCUUCCUUCUCACGGAAGCUGUGCAGCUCUUUCCAAGUGCUGCACUGGUGGUUUCAUCGUGUGGCAUCCACACAGCGUGUAUGUUUCAGGCCCCGAGGCUCCGGGGCUCCUGCUGCAGCCUCCUUGCUGUCCCGUCAAGGGACCAACGUCUUC